GUAUAAAUUAAAUUUGUGAAGAAAAAAAUGAAAUACUUAGCUCCAGAUUUCCAGUACGUCCAGUUUAAUCAGCAAAAGCAACCAAAUCAAAAUUCUGAUGGCUUGGCGCCUUCUCGUCACCAACCUAAAAUCCCCCGAAACCCUAACCCUAACAAACACCCUCCGCCAUUCCUCUGCUUCCUUCUUCAACCAGGAACUCCCAUUUUCCACCUCCUUCCUCAUCACCAAGCUCCCCAAGAAGUUCAGGAAGAAACGCAAGAAGCAAGAAAGCCCUAGAACCAAGCUCGUCCAAUCCGAACCUAAUCGCAUUUCUUACUUCGAGCGCAUCGUUGAAACAGAUUCCUUCUUCAGAUUCCUUUUUAAAUCGAAGGAUUUCCUUUCGAAGCAGCCGGAGCACGUUCUUCGCCUCGACGAUGCCGGUAAGCUCUAUCGCGAACUCGGUUUCCCGAGAGGACGCAAAGUCGCUCGAUCUAUUGAGCGCCAUCCGCUCAUUUUCGAACCCUACCGUCACGUGGAUGGAAAAAUGUGGUUUGGAUUUACCGAGUUUAUGGAGAGGUUGAUCGAGGAAGAGAAGAGGAUUAUGGACUCGAUGGAGAUGGAUAGGGUUAGAACUGUGAGGAAGUUGUUGAUGAUGUCGGCGAAUAAGCGGAUUCCAUUGUCGAAAAUCUAUCACUGCAGAUCGGUGUUUGGGAUUCCAGAGGAUUUUAGAGAUCGAGUGGGGAAAUAUCCGGAUUUCUUCAGAGUUGUGGUGGAAGAUGAUGGGAAGAGGGUGCUGGAAUUGGUCAAUUGGGAUCCUCUAUUGGCUGUUAGUGACCUCGAGAGAGAAUUCGUGAUGAACGAGGAUAAGGCGAAAAGGGCGUUCAAGUUUCCUGUGAAACAUGGGAAGGAUUUGGAUUUGGAUGAGGAUGAUACGAGGAAGCUGAAUUUGUUGAAUACACUUCCAUUGGUUUCGCCAUAUUCAGACGGAUCGAAGCUGGAACUUUGGACAUUGGAGGCAGAGAAGUACAGGGUUGGCGUGGUGCAUGAGUUCUUGAGCUUGACAUUGGAGAAGAAGGCUUCUAUUCAUCAUAUUGUGGAGUUUAAGGAGGAGUUCUGCUUGACUAAGCAUACUUAUCAGAUGCUUCGUAAGCAACCCAGAACCUUUUAUCUGGCUGGGACGGAAAUGAAUUGGGUUGUUUUCUUGAAGGAUGCAUACAAUGAAAAUGGCGACUUGAUUGAGAAGGAUCCUCAAGUUGUUUUCAACGAGAAGCUGCGUAGAUACGCUCAAAUGCAGAAGAUGGAAUGAUAUCCUAUCAAAGGGCAGCAAAUGUGAUAGAGCUGAAGAAAUUGGGAAACAAAACAGAACAGAAAACUCAUCCUAACGAGACGAUGAUGAUGCAAGGGCUGAUGAAUCCAUCC